AAAGUACAUUUCCUUAUCAGAAGAAAAAGAAAAUGCAUAUGCACAACAUGAAAUGGUUCAGUUUCCAAAAAUAAUUCUUAGGAAACUAAUGAUCACUAUAGAAUAGCUGAUAAGACCAACAGGUUUUUGUUCUUAUUUCUGUCCCACCUGGUCUAGGAAUUUCUCAUUCCUCAGAAACUGGUUGGCCUAAGCUUCCUGCUCUGAUUAAAGUUACAUGUAGCUUGCAUUUUUCUGUUUUAAAUAUAUGUAUUCCUCAGUGUGUAUUCUUUGAGGAUAGGAGUAUGAUUUAAAGGAAGAAUCUUGUUCUUUGUGUGUUUAUGCAGCAUAUAUGAUUAACAUUCUAUUUUUUGCUUCCACUUUCACUGCUAUAUGGAUCAUUCCUCAGAUAAAUCUGUGUCUUCUUUCUGGGAAUUUUCUAUCAAGAGUCUAAGGGAUUUGGUAACUGCUGCAAUGGAGUAGAGUACUACCUCCCAAAAUGUAUUCCAUGGACACUGAAUCCCUAUGAAUUGGUAAUUCAUGUUCCCUCUAAUAACACCAUCUAGGACUCAUGUUCUUUUUGGAAAAGGUUUACAAGAAGAGGGGAUAUUUGAUCUUGAUCCUGAAGACUUAGUAAGAACUCAAGCAGGAACCCAACUAGAGAGAGAGGUUAAUGACAUAUUAGUCUAGACUAUGUUAAAGUAUGGACAAGUCCAAAAACUUGGCAUGUCUGGGAAGCUUUGGAAUGUCCAUAGUGAAGGGUAUCUGUGAGUGAGAGGUGGGAGAGGGAAGGAAGGAGGAAUUUGGACCAGAGCUUGAAAUGUCUGCAAUACUAUGUUGGAUUUCUCCUGUUUGUCCCCCCAGACCACUCUCUACCUUUGCACACCUUAUUCACGGAAGGAUAUCAAUGGAUUCCUUGCCUUCCAGCUUCUGGUUGGAUUCACCUAGUGGAGAUCCCUGGAAGGCGAUUAGAAGAAGAAGAGUGAGGUCAGAGCAUUUGCUCCAUUGGUUCCUUUCAUGAGAUGUCAUCCUGAGUUAGCUGCUCCCCAGCUGAUGGUCACUGGCCUUCUAAUGAUUGAUAGUCAACUCAACUUGUCCUUUAAAGAUCAGGUUAAAACCAUCCAUUGCGUGGAGAAAUGCCACUGUGGGAUUGCAAGUCUCAGAACCAAGACUUCCAUGUGUCUUUUUCUCCAGUGAAGUAGCUGAAGGUCUGGAGCUGAACUUGUAAAUGCCAUUGUGUCUUUGAAUCUCAAAUCUAGACUGAUAAAAGUCCUUAAAGGUCCUCUGGUUCAACCUUC